rnacentral:rRNA from 1 species
GCAGCAGCCGCGGGAAUACGAAGGGGGCUAGCGUUGUUCGGAUUUACUGGGCGUAAAGCGCACGUAGGCGGAUCGAUCAGUCAGGGGUGAAAUCCCAGAGCUCAACUCUGGAACUGCCUUUGAUACUGUCGAUCUGGAGUAUGGAAGAGGUGAGUGGAAUUCCGAGUGUAGAGGUGAAAUUCGUAGAUAUUCGGAGGAACACCAGUGGCGAAGGCGGCUCACUGGUCCAUUACUGACGCUGAGGUGCGAAAGCGUGGGGAGCAAACAGGAUUAGAUACCCGCGUAGUCCCUGUCUCUUAUAC